UGGAUGCGGCAGCAAAGACCUGAACUGAGGAAGAACGUCUACCACUCUACCCCUUUUCAUUUUUAUACUGCUUUGAAG
rnacentral:pre_miRNA from 1 species